AAACCAGCUGGGAUUACCUUAGUAACGGCGAGUGAAGCGGUAAAAGCUCAAAUUUGAAAUCUGGUACUUUCAGUGCCCGAGUUGUAAUUUGUAGAAUUUGUCUUUGAUUAGGUCCUUGUCUAUGUUCCUUGGAACAGGACGUCAUAGAGGGUGAGAAUCCCGUUUGGCGAGGAUACCUUUUCUCUGUAAGACUUUUUCGAAGAGUCGAGUUGUUUGGGAAUGCAGCUCAAAGUGGGUGGUAAAUUCCAUCUAAAGCUAAAUAUUGGCGAGAGACCGAUAGCGAACAAGUACAGUGAUGGAAAGAUGAAAAGAACUUUGAAAAGAGAGUGAAAAAGUACGUGAAAUUGUUGAAAGGGAAGGGCAUUUGAUCAGACAUGGUGUUUUUUAAAUGUGCAAGUCUCUCUUGGACAUGUGCCUCUGGAAAUUAACACUGGGCCAACAUCAGUUCUGGCGGCAGGAUAAAUCAUUAAGAAUGUAGCUACCUCGGUAGUGUUAUAGCUUUUUGGAAUACUGCC
rnacentral:rRNA from 1 species